UUUGACGUUACGCUGUAUCAUUUGUGAUCGAUAAUAAACGAGUUUGAGAGAAACGGCAGUCGAAGCCGAGCCUCCAGACAAAUCGGUCUUGAUUCCGGAAACUGUGGAUUCGUUGAUCCCGCAAAUAAGAUGGACGGUGUCACGAACGAUGGGACGAACGAAUCUCCAUUGGCUUCGACAUAUACAUAUUUAUAAUUACGUUUCAAAAGAAUUAUGGGAAAAGGUUUCAAUAUUUAAUGAAAAAAGCACCCGAAGACCGCCUUCCGGGAUGAUGUUAACGAAUGUCUACAUCAUGCGAGUGCACAGUUUCGGAUCCACUUCCGAUAUUUCGAUUAUUCCAUUUCCGAAACGGUAAACUGACCAGCUUUCAAAGCGGCAACUACUACAGCUGUGCAGAAAAGUUUUACUAAUCGUAAAACGUAUUGAAAAUGCCUGCUGUUUGGGAUACGAGUGGAGCUCAGUCGCAGAUAUCGCUGCACUUAUAAACAGGUAGAUUUUGCGAUCCAUGUAAAGUGACCUGUUCGAAUUUUUCCCUUCCGCAAAAUUAUGCUCGAUUCAGAUUUCGC